UCCGCCCCAUUUCUUCUCUCUCUCUCUCUCACCAGGCGAUAACCCUUGAUCCAUGGAUUUCACUGCCGAAUUCACUGGAUCGACGGAUUUCACCCGCGAAUCCACAUCUCAGGGUUUUUUCUCCGGCUAUGACCCUAGAGCGAUGGAUUUCACUGGCGUUUUCAAAUCUCAGGGUUUCUUUCUCCGGCGAUAACCCUAGAGAUAGAUGGAUUUCACCGGCGUUUUCACAUCUAAGGUUUAUGGAUGAAGACGAUAAAGAACUUAUCUCUGUCUCCAAAACCAGUGAUAAAAUAAGAAGUUGAGUUCUGUACUUAUCCAUUAAGUAGUUGAUAUAUAAGUAGCCAUUUAUGGUUCUUUAUGAUGAGCCCUCAUGAUUUAAGGCUCUUUUGGAGUGAAGUAUAAGUCAAAGUAUCUCUUAAACCAUCAAAAUUUUCUACAAUUUUUUUUAUUCCAGAUUUUUAAGGCUCUUUAUGUUUCAGAUUUUAAGUGGCUGAGGUUUGACCAUCACCGUAAUUAUUCAUAUUUUAAGUGGGUGAGGUUUGCCCUCAACAGUCAAAAUAAAAUUAUGACUGGAUUUGAUUUUGAUAGUGAUGUUGAAUGGUCCAGUUGUGUCAUUCUUUUGCAAAUUUGUGAUGUAUUAGUACUUUACCCUUAUUCUGCAAAUGAAAUCAUCAAUUGCGUGGUGAUUUGUUGGCCACGGGUAGAGGGGUAAGAUCGAAGGCACAGUUACGCGAGAUGCCGAACAAUGAGUCCAGGUCACAACCAUAGGCAUGAUAGCAGGAUGUUUGUUCUUACUUUACAAAGCUUUACGAGGUUGAUGGUUUGGAUGCUUUUUCUGUCAAACAAGCUUGCAAAAUAGCAAAGGGACAUGCCUUGAAGAACGGAUCCAUUGAUCGGCUUUUCUUGGCCCUGUUAGAUCUGUUCUUGUGCAUCCUCAUAUGCAGAAUGUUCCCUCACUUAAUCGUCUCAUGCUCACUAAAGCAAAGGUCAACUCUUUUAUACAUUGUUUUGUUGAAGUUCAAAAGAUCACAUCAUUACAUGACUUGGAGAUAGAAAUAUGUAAAAGUGAAAGGGUCAAGAGCUUUGAAGAACUUAAACUUAAACUGGGACCCAUUCCGAGGUCACAGAAAUUUGCAAAAUUACAAGUGAACAAAUUUUUGCGUACCUCAGCCGACUCCCUCGCAAAAAAGAAAAAGGAAGGACCUCCGUAGAUGACUUAUUUGAUUUUAUAGCAAAUGUUUAUACAAGGCAUACCCUGCAAUAACAAUAUUUUUAUUAUUUUUAUUUUAUAUGAUGUAUAUGAUCAUACUAUAAUGACAGACAUAAACUUUCACUUGCCAAUUUGCUACAUCUUUGUCAGUGACUCUUA
rnacentral:lncRNA from 1 species